rnacentral:rRNA from 1 species
GUGGAUAACCUGCCUUACACUGGGGGAUAACACUUAGAAAUAGGUGCUAAUACCGCAUAAGCGCACAGAGCCGCAUGGCUCAGUGUGAAAAACUCCGGUGGUGUAAGAUGGAUCCGCGUCUGAUUAGCUGGUUGGCGGGGUAGAAGCCCACCAAGGCGACGAUCAGUAGCCGGCCUGAGAGGGUGAACGGCCACAUUGGGACUGAGACACGGCCCAAACUCCUACGGGAGGCAGCAGUGGGGAAUAUUGCACAAUGGGGGAAACCCUGAUGCAGCAACGCCGCGUGAGUGAAGAAGUCAUUCGUGAUGUAAAGCUCUAUCAGCAGGGAAGAAAAUGACGGUACCUGAGUAAGAAGCCCCGGCUAACUACGUGCCAGCAGCCGCGGUAAUACGUAGGGGGCAAGCGUUAUCCGGAUUUACUGGGUGUAAAGGGAGCGUAGACGGCCAGACAAGUCUGAAGUGAAAAUCCAGCGCUUAACGUUGGAAGUGCUUUGGAAACUGCCGGGCUAGAGUGCAGGAGGGGCAGGCGGAAUUCCUAGUGUAGCGGUGAAAUGCGUAGAUAUUAGGAGGAACACCAGUGGCGAAGGCGGCCUGCUGGACUGCAACUGACGUUGAGGCUCGAAGGCGUGGGGAGCAAACAGGAUUAGAUACCCUGGUAGUCCACGCGGUAAACGAUGAUUACUAGGUGUCGGGGGG